rnacentral:lncRNA from 1 species
AGAAAGAAAAGAUAAUACAUUUAAAUUGCACGACCGUUUCUGGCCGUUCAAAGGCAAGAUUAAAGAAAAGUCUGCCCUUUAUAAAAUCGUUCGGGAUCAACUUAUGUGACCAUUCCGCCACCUCACCUCCAAGUGCGAAACCACUGGCUUUAGACACAAGGAAAACGAUCAUUUGUAAGGAGAGAAGGCCUUUUACUCGAAGGGAUUUUGCAGGAGCACAAAUUGAUUGGGCCGCACAAUGAUUGGCGUGUGAAGAAACCAAUAGUUUCAGGUAAACGAAGUCCGAGGCGGGACGAGGCCCCGAUUUCCGCCCCUCCACUUGACUGACGUCCGACACCACCAAGGGCAGCCAAGGUCCUUUCCCGGGAGGCGGUGACGUCAGUAGAAAUCGACACCUCCAAGGAGCAAUUACCGACGGGAACGGAGUGGGCGGGCCCCGAGGCCGACCAAUAGGAUGGAAGCAGGCACGGCGGAGGGGGAGGGAGCUCGGAGUAGCGACCGCCAUUUCGCGAGAGGAGCUCGAGCGUCGGCGGUUCUCAGAGAACAGAGACUUUAUAGGGAGAGAAAUUGAGCACAAAAAGAGAAAGCCGUCGACUUUUGUUACAUUUUUAAAAAACAAAACAAUUAAUAAAGCCCCUGGUGGCUGAAACGGAGGUGGUUUGUUGUUGACUGUUAAAAACCGCGAAAGCUACGCUGUGUUUUACACGUCUGCUGCAGUUUUUUGCGAUUUCUUUUUAAAGAAAGUCUCCUCCUUUAAGCAAACAAAAAAAAAACAGAUUUUUCCUAUAACCACUGGCGUUGUAACCUUUUUACUUUCAUUUUUAUUUUUUCCCCCAAAGCCGGCGUCGUGUUGGUCAGCGGUUCGUGGCUGGAUUGGUGUUAAAUAUCUUUUUCUUUUUGCUUUAUUUUUCCCGUCAUUUUUAAUUUAAGAAAGUUUCAGGGUGAAUAUGGGUUGGAAAUUUUUAAUUUUUCUCAUUUUUGGUGCGUUUGUGCGGAGUGUGGGCUUUGCUUUAAGACUGUGGUGAUGCAUUUUUAAAGAGGUGUUUUUUUUUCGGCAAGAAGCAUUAUGGUGGCGAUUUUCAAAGAAGGACUUUAAAAUAAACUUUAUUUUUUGGCGGCAGCGAGGACAGGACUGAAAAAAAGAUCCGAUCAUGUAAUGUUUUUUUUUCUCUUAAAAAAGAAACGUCUGGAAUCUAUAUUUAAAUACACGGAGCAAUAAUAAAGUUAUGUCGUG